rnacentral:rRNA from 1 species
ACUCAAAGGAAUUGACGGGGGCCCGCACAAGCGGAGGAACAUGUGGUUUAAUUCGAUGAUACGCGAGGAACCUUACCCGGGCUCGAACGGCAGAGGAAUACUGUAGAGAUAUGGUAGUCAGCAAUGACUUCUGUCGAGGUGCUGCAUGGUUGUCGUCAGCUCGUGCCGUGAGGUGUCGGCUUAAGUGCCAUAACGAGCGCAACCCUUGUUGUUAGUUGCCAUCGGGUAAUGCCGGGGACUCUAACGAGACUGCCAGCGUAAGCUGUGAGGAAGGGGGGGAUGACGUCAAAUCAGCACGGCCCUUACGUCCGGGGCGACACACGUGUUACAAUGGCCGGUACAGAGGGCCGCUACCCAGCGAUGGGAUGCGAAUCUCUAAAACCGGUCUCAGUUCGGAUCGGAGUCUGCAACUCGACUCCGUGAAGUUGGAUUCGCUAGUAAUCGCGCAUCAGCCAUGGCGCGGUGAAUACGUUCCCGGGCCUUGUACACACCGCCCGU